rnacentral:rRNA from 3 species
UGUUUGAUGUUCUAACGUGGACCCGUAAUCCGGGUUGCGGACAGUGUCUGGUGGGUAGUUUGACUGGGGCGGUCUCCUCCUAAAGAGUAACGGAGGAGCACGAAGGUUGGCUAAUCCUGGUCGGACAUCAGGAGGUUAGUGCAAUGGCAUAAGCCAGCUUGACUGCGAGCGUGACGGCGCGAGCAGGUGCGAAAGCAGGUCAUAGUGAUCCGGUGGUUCUGAAUGGAAGGGCCAUCGCUCAACGGAUAAAAGGUACUCCGGGGAUAACAGGCUGAUACCGCCCAAGAGUUCAUAUCGACGGCGGUGUUUGGCACCUCGAUGUCGGCUCAUCACAUCCUGGGGCUGAAGUAGGUCCCAAGGGUAUGGCUGUUCGCCAUUUAAAGUGGUACGCGAGCUGGGUUUAGAACGUCGUGAGACAGUUCGGUCCCUAUCUGCCGUGGGCGCUGGAGAACUGAGGGGGGCUGCUCCUAGUACGAGAGGACCGGAGUGGACGCAUCACUGGUGUUCGGGUUGUCAUGCCAAUGGCACUGCCCGGUAGCUAAAUGCGGAAGAGAUAAGUGCUGAAAGCAUCUAAGCACGAAACUUGCCCCGAGA